rnacentral:rRNA from 1 species
AUUGAACGCUGGCGGCAGGCCUAACACAUGUAAGUCGAACGAGUGGCGGACGGGUGAGUAAUGUCUGGGAACCUGCCCGACGGAGGGGGAUAACUACUGGAAACGGUAGCUAAUGCCGCAUACCAUCGGUUGUGGCCAGAGUGGAUUAGCUAGUAGGUGGGGUAACGGCUCACCUAGGCGACGCUCCCUAGCUGGUCUGAGAGGAUGACCAGCCACACUGGGACUGAGAAACGGCCCAGACUCCUACGGGAGGCAGCAGUGGGGAAUUUUGGACAAUGGGGGAAAGCCUGAUCCAGCCAUCCCGCGUGAGCGAUGAAGGCCUUCGGGUUGUAAAGCACUGUUGGCAGGAAAGCGGUACCUGCAGAGUAAGCACCGGCUAACUACGUGCCAGCAGCCGCGGUAAUAC